UACGUAGGGUGCGAGCGUUGUCCGGAAUUAUUGGGCGUAAAGAGCUCGUAGGCGGUGUGUCACGUCGGCCGUGAAAACCUGCAGCUUAACUGUGGGCGUGCGGUCGAUACGGGCAUCACUGGAGUUCGGCAGGGGAGACUGGAAUUCCUGGUGUAGCGGUGAAAUGCGCAGAUAUCAGGAGGAACACCUGCGGCGAAGGCGGGUUGCUGGGCCGACACUGACGCUGAAGCGCGAAAGCCAGGGGAGCGAACGGG
rnacentral:rRNA from 1 species